rnacentral:rRNA from 1 species
UGGGCAACCUGCCCUCAGCUCUGGGACAACUCCGGGAAACCGGGGCUAAUACCGGAUAUGACAUGUCCCCGCAUGGGGGUGUGUGGAAAGUUUUUCGGCUGAGGAUGGGCCCGCGGCCUAUCAGCUUGUUGGUGGGGUGAUGGCCUACCAAGGCGACGACGGGUAGCCGGCCUGAGAGGGUGUCCGGCCACACUGGGACUGAGAUACGGCCCAGACUCCUACGGGAGGCA